UGGGGAAUUUUGGACAAUGGGCGAAAGCCUGAUCCAGCAAUGCCGCGUGUGUGAAGAAGGCCUUCGGGUUGUAAAGCACUUUUGUCCGGAAAGAAAUCCUUGGCUCUAAUACAGUCGGGGGAUGACGGUACCGGAAGAAUAAGCACCGGCUAACUACGUGCCAGCAGCCGCGGUAAUACGUAGGGUGCAAGCGUUAAUCGGAAUUACUGGGCGUAAAGCGUGCGCAGGCGGUUUGCUAAGACCGAUGUGAAAUCCCCGGGCUCAACCUGGGAACUGCAUUGGUGACUGGCAGGCUAGAGUAUGGCAGAGGGGGGUAGAAUUCCACGUGUAGCAGUGAAUGCGUAGAGAUGUGGAGGAAUACCGAUGGCGAAGGCAGCCCCCUGGGCCAAUACUGACGCUCAUGCACGAAAGCGUGGGGAGCAAACAGGAUUAGAUACCCUGGUAGUCCACGCCCUAAACGAUGUCAACUAGUUGUUGGGGAUUCAUUUCCUUAGUAACGUAGCUAACGCGUGAAGUUGACCGCCUGGGGAGUACGGUCGCAAGAUUAAAACUCAAAUGAAUUGACGGGGU
rnacentral:rRNA from 1 species